GGACCAUUAGCUCAGGGGAUAGAGUGGCAGACUUCGAAUCUGCGCGUCGGGGGUUCGAAUCCCUCAUGGUUCA
rnacentral:tRNA from 2 species